UAGGAUGUGGUGUAUGGUGCACGGCUGCUUCUAUCUAGGAAGUUUGCGACAAGUAAAAGCAGCAGAACGGGGUUCGACUCCCUGCAUCCAAA